rnacentral:lncRNA from 1 species
AUGCCUGCUGUGCCAGCAGCAGCUGUCACAGAGUUCUCCACACUCUCUGCUUUCCACAUGGAUGAGAACCAGGCAGACUUCUAGGAACCAGAGUCCAGGCUCUGCACGUAUGUGAUUGGAAACACCCUUGCUCUGGAAAUCAAGGGUAGCCCCGUGACAUAUUUUGACGUGUAGAACGAGUGAGAAGACGUCAAUGCCUGCGCAAGUGUCUUCCUCCCUCCCUGUUGGAAGCUUACGCUGGAUCUCAGACAGAACCUGGACCUUCAGUGGAGCGUGGCGAUGCGUGUGACAUGCACCAAAGCAUGCUCCUGACCAGUUAGACCGAUCAUUACAAGCC